AUACGAAGGGGGCUAGCGUUGUUCGGAAUUACUGGGCGUAAAGCGCACGUAGGCGGGUAUUUAAGUCAGGGGUGAAAUCCCAGAGCUCAACUCUGGAGCUGCCUUUGAUACUGGGUACCUAGAGUAUGGAAGAGGUAAGUGGAAUUCCGAGUGUAGAGGUGAAAUUCGUAGAUAUUCGGAGGAACACCAGUGGCGAAGGCGGCUUACUGGUCCAUUACUGACGCUGAGGUGCGAAAGCGUGGGGAGC
rnacentral:rRNA from 1 species